GACGAACGCUGGCGGCGUGCCUAAUACAUGCUUGUCGAGCGAAGCUCCGCCGGAGGCUUGCCUUUGGCGGAUGACUUAGCGGCGGACGGGUGAGUAACGCGUGGGCAACCUACCCUCGAGUCCGGGACAACCCUGGGAAACCGGGGCUAAUACCGGAUGUGCCCCGUGGCCGAUGGUCAUGGGGGAAAGGUGGCUUCUGCUUGCAAGCUACCGCUUGGGGAUGGGCCCGCGUCCCAUUAGCUGGUUGGUGGGGUAAGGGCCCACCAAGGCGACGAUGGGUAGCCGGUCUGAGAGGAUGGCCGGCCACACUGGGACUGAGACACGGCCCAGACUCCUACGGGAGGCGGCAGUCGGGAAUAUUGGGCAAUGGGCGAAAGCCUGACCCAGCGACGCCGCGUGGGGGAGGAAGGCCUUCGGGUCGUAAACCCCUGUCUUCGGGGACGAACGGUCCACCGGCGAACACCCGGUGGAGGUGACGGUACCCGAGGAGGAAGCCCCGGCCAACUACGUGCCAGCAGCCGCGGUAACGCGUAGGGGGCGAGCGUUGUCCGGAAUUACUGGGCGUAAAGCGCGUGUAUGCUGCUGGUGAAGUCGGGUGCGAAAGCCGCCGGCUUCAACUGGCGGAAUGCACUCGAGACUCCCCGGCUUGGAGGGCAGGGAGAGGGAAGCGGAAUUCCGGGUGAGCGGUGGGAAUUGCGUAGAUUAUCGGGAAGGAUCCUAUUGGCGAAGGCGGCUUCCUGGGCCGGACUUGAACCCUAAGAGCCGAAAGCUAGG
rnacentral:rRNA from 1 species